rnacentral:rRNA from 1 species
UCGGCAUACUGCUCAGUAACACGUGGAUAACCUGCCCUGCGGUGGGAAAUAACCCCGGGAAACUGGGGAUAAUGUCCCAUAGGCUACGGAUGCUGGAAUGCUCUGUAGCUCAAAGAUUUAUCGCCACAGGAUGGAUCUGCGGCCGAUUAGGUAGUUGUUGGGGUAACGGCCCAACAAGCCUUUGAUCGGUACGGGUUGUGGGAGCAAGAGCCCGGAGAUGGAUUCUGAGACACGAAUCCAGGCCCUACGGGGCGCAGCAGGCGCGAAAACUUUACAAUGCGGGAAACCGUGAUAAGGGAACUCCGAGUGUCCGUAAAUGCGGACUGUCCGUAUGUUUAAAAAGCAUGCGAAGAAAGGGCCGGGCAAGACCGGUGCCAGCCGCCGCGGUAAUACCGGCGGCUCGAGUGGUGGCCACUAUUAUUGGGCUUAAAGCGUUCGUAGCUGGGUUAUUAAGUCUCUUGGGAAAUCUACCGGCUUAACCGAUAGGCGUCCAAGGGAUACUGGUAAUCUAGGGACCGGGAGAGGUGAGGGGUACUUCAAGGGUAGGAGUGAAAUCCUGUAAUCCUUGGGGGACCACCUGUGGCGAAGGCGCCUCACCAGAACGGCUCCGACAGUGAGGGACGAAAGCUGGGGGAGCAAACCGGAUUAGAUACCCGGGUAGUCCCAGCCGUAAACGAUGCGCGUUAGGUGUAUCGAUGACCACGAGUCAUCGAGGUGCCGAAGGGAAACCGUGAAACGCGCCGCCUGGGAAGUACGGUCGCAAGGCUGAAACUUAAAGGAAUUGGCGGGGGAGCACCACAACAGGUGGAGCCUGCGGUUUAAUCGGACUCAACGCCGGAAAUCUCACCGGA